AUUGAACGCUGGCGGCAUGCCUUACACAUGCAAGUCGAACGGCAGCACGGGAGCAAUCCUGGUGGCGAGUGGCGAACGGGUGAGUAAUAUAUCGGAACGUGCCCAGUCGUGGGGAUAACGUAGCGAAAGCUACGCUAAUACCGCAUACGAUCUACGGAUGAAAGCGGGGGAUCGCAAGACCUCGCGCGAUUGGAGCGGCCGAUAUCAGAUUAGGUAGUUGGUGAGGUAAAGGCUCACCAAGCCGACGAUCUGUAGCUGGUCUGAGAGGACGACCAGCCACACUGGGACUGAGACACGGCCCAGACUCCUACGGGAGGCAGCAGUGGGGAAUUUUGGACAAUGGGCGCAAGCCUGAUCCAGCAAUGCCGCGUGCAGGAUGGAGGCCUCGGUUGUAACUAG
rnacentral:rRNA from 1 species